rnacentral:tRNA from 1 species
ACCGAAAUAGCUCAAUUGGGAGAGCGUUAGACUAUAGAACGAAAGUCCCUGGUUUGAUUCCGGGUUCCGGCA